UUACAACAUAAAAUAGGCUUGAAACACCAAACCCAAUCCUUAGCUCAUUAGAUACAGAGAAACAAAGACCUAGAGCUGAAAUAACACACCAGCCUGAAGCCCAGAAGGCCUAUAGCUAAGCGCCUCUCCAAUUGCUAGAAACCAACACAGCAGUCCUGAGAAAAAGGCCACAUACAAGCAGAAGCUCCAUUUCUAGACCACGAUGACAGCGGCCAGCGUCCCUACAGCAUUUGCACUUUGAAGGGUCAGACGACCAGACAAAGUUGGCCGACUUUCAAGAUCUCCGAGAUAGCCAUAUAUACGGUAAAAAAUGUAAACAACACCUUUUUGAUAGAGUAAUUAUACAACACAAUAUUAUUGUAUCACGUUAGCUGAGCCAUUUGUGCAACCCAACUAGAUUAACCAGUUUAAGCACUAGGGCUACUACCACCACCACCAACAACAAUAACGCUGCAGGUUGCAGAAUUCAUUGUAAACACAACAGGCCUGCAUGCAUGCAACGAAACUCAGCUGCAAAGGAAUCAACAGCAGCAAACUGAAAGAGACUUUAGGUUAGAGAAAAGGUGGUGAAACGGGUUAGAAAGAAGGAGAGAUAUAUU
rnacentral:lncRNA from 1 species